ACUCAGCCCUGGCCGGGCCCCGCGCCCUCGGCCGCCGCGCAGGGUCUGGACGCGCGCCGCGGCUCCCUAGCCGGCCGGCCGACGCUCGGGGCGUACUCACAAUGAGCGGGAUGGUGCGGUCCUCGCGGAGCUGCUCCGACCUCCUGCCUGCCCUCUGCGCGCCCCGGCCGCCGGAGGAUGCUGCGUGGGCUCGGUUGUCCUGCCAUAAGUAGUAGAAAGUGCCCAGGAUCCAGGCUACGGUCAGGAUGGCGAUGGCAUUGGCGCGGAUCUUCCUCAUGGAAUGGACUCCAGCAGCAUCACAGAAUCAAAGCAACACCUAAGGAAUUCACUGUUUCUUCACAUACUUUGAACUGUGAAAACAAGAGUCAUCAUAAUAGCUGCAGUUUACUCAGUACCUACCAGGUACUGUCACCUAUACUGUCUCUAAAGCCCCUACAACCCUGAGCUAAGGAUGAUCAUAUCCCCAACUGCAGAUGAUGACACUGAAGCUCAACGGCUACUCAACUUGCCUGGAAUCCUACAGCAAAAAAGGCUGGAGCCGAAGGCUGAGGGAGAGGGAAGGAUUCCAGCAUCAGGACCCUGCAUGGAUGACAUGGCUGAGACCAUUCAGGAUGGGGAAGAUCCCUGCUCCAUCCUGAAUGACCCACACUUACAUCCCCCACCCCCACCUAAGCUGCCAGGCCACUAAACUCCUCGCAUAUUGAACACAGUCCCAAAGGCAGCUUGUGGUACCAUUUCCACUGGGAAAUACUCAAUGGCUUCCUUCAUCCUGUUUUCAAGCUUGUCAGAAAGCAGAUGCUGCUCAAAUCUGACAGCUGCUCUUAAGGGCACGCUCAAAGGGCACUCCCUGACCAGUGGGAAUAUUCUUAAUGAUGACUGAGAGGCCUUGGGUGUUUAGACUAUGGCAAGACAAAGGAGCGAGCAUGAAAGGGCAUCAAGGGUAAAAUGGCCCUAGGGAAACCAUACGGGACUUGAAUUGGAAAACACCAACAGCCUCGCUCCUUUCUCUGGACUGUGUAUCUUUGGGAAGUUCUAAUUUGGAGAAGACCUGACUCCUUAUCCACCUGCCACAGAGAAAGUAUUAAUAAAAUAUGAGGCUAGGGUCUAUGAGAAGUGGCCCAGGAAAGCCAUCUAUGCAAAUUUUGUUUCCUUCCUACUUGAGAGGGUUGGGGAUGAGAGGUCCUUCCUUCCCUGGCUCAUAAGCCCAUGAGUUGUGUAAAACACUGUUCAAGAAGGCAGAAUAUAAGCCCUCUGUUGUGCAUGAUAUUCAUAUUCUUGAAAGAAUUAGUGUAUAAAUCAAAUUUUACCUGCCAGAGAAGCUGGCUUUUCAAAAUAAAUUUGAAGUCAAUCCUAUGUUUAAACAGAAGGAUGGCUUGUAAAGGUGAAUAACCAUCCUAGGUCACAAUUUGCAAAUUGGGAACUCUGAAUGUCUGACUUGGAUGGUGGGGCAGGGGGUUCUGUCUAGAGAUUAAUCUAUGGUUUGCUUUUAGGUUGCAACUAAGCAUUACUUUAAAACAAACAAAAGACUGAGUUUUUAAAGAACAUUUUUAAUGGAAAAUUUCAAAUAUAUAUAUAUAUAUAUAUAGAGAGAGAGGGGGCCCACUAUGAUAAACACACAGCUUCAGUGAUUCUCAACCCAUGGCCAAUCCUGUGAGAAACAUGAACUUUUGAACCAGCUGACAGAUAUAGAGGAUGAACUUCGUGGUACAGAACAAAAAGAAGUAGUCCUACUCAGGCUGCAGUAUCCAAAACGUUUCUGCAUAAAUGCCCUAAACUAGAGCCUAAAGUGUGAAACAAAGGGGUGGAGAAUAUUAUUGGUUCGCGACCAAAUAAGAAACCUGGGAAUUAAAACACAAAACAAAACCACACACACAUACAAUCUCUCUGAGGGAUGCAAAUUAAUAGUAACACUGGUUGCCUUCAAGGAGGGCAGAAAGACUGGAGCGAUUUUCAUUAUAUGUUUUUUAAAAAUUUUAUACUAUGUGCACAUUUUACCUAUUUUUAAAAAUUAACUUACUAAAAACAAACAUGAAGCUUUGCAAUAACCAAAUCCACUAGAUGUGACAAAAGGGAAAACUGUCUGGACUCAAUAUAUAAGAGGACUUAUAUUCUGCCUUACUGAACAGUGUUUUACACAACUCAUGGGCUUAUGAGCCAGGGAAGGACGGACCUCUCAUCCCCAACCCUCUCAAGUAGGAAGGAAACAAAAUUUGCAUGGAUGGCUUUCCUGGGCCACUUCUCCUACACCCUAGCCUUAUAUUCUAUUAAUACUUUCUCUGUGGCAGGUGGAUCUUCAUCACAUUUUGAUCUGGAUUUACUGUUUUAUAGUAAUUUUCUCAGCUAGAAGAAUGCACAACCUUCCAAUCCCAAAACGUACAUCAUUAGAAUAGGUGCUUCACAAAAUAUUAAAAACACCAGCCCCUGGUGGUUAUAUGGAUAUAUGCAUUUGUCAAAAUUCAUUGAGUUGUAUUCUUAGAUGUGUGCACUUUAUCAUAUGUUACUUAUACUGCACUUUAAUAAAGUAUUGCUAAAAACAAAACAAAAAAUCACAGUCCUUGUGGACAAAUAAGCCAAAAAAUCACCACUUAGAGGUUUGUUGGGUUGGUGGUUCAGAGAAAGCUGCUGUUAUGAGGAAACAUUAUGUGGACUUUUUGCAAAAACUUACUCUUUGGAAACCACCACUACAGCAUGUGCUUUUGGUUAAGCAUUCCAUGGCUGAAACGCAACUCUAUGCUGAAAUGCCGAGAGGAUGAGGCAAAAUCUUGGCCAAGGUCAAGUUCUGUUGAUGGUCUGAGAGGGGGAUGGCAGCCAAGUGCUCUGCACUUGUAUAACAUUUAAAAAAGAAAAACUAACCUAAGUCAUCUUCUGUUCCUUUUUGUAGCCAACUUUAGUCCUGCUCAUUGUGUCCAAGAACUCAGAGGCAGCCAUAUGUGCAACAGCUCAGGCUUACCAAACCUCCAGGGCCAAACAUACAUAUCGUGAUUAAAAAGAAACGAAGCCAGCCAACAGGGCUUUAGUUGAUUCCAUGGGAUA
rnacentral:lncRNA from 10 species